rnacentral:rRNA from 1 species
CCUACGGGGUGCAGCAGUGAGGAAUAUUGGUCAAUGGGCGCGAGCCUGAACCAGCCAAGUCGCGUGAGGGAAGACGGUCCUACGGAUUGUAAACCUCUUUUUCCGGGGAGCAAAAGACGCGACGCGUGGCGCCCCGAGAGUACCCGAAGAAAAAGCAUCGGCUAACUCCGUGUCAGCAGCCGCGGUAAUACAGAGGAUGCGAGCGUUAUCCGGAUGUAUUGGGUUUAAAGGGUGCGCAGGCGGAAGAUCAAGUCAGCGGUAAAAUUGAGAGGCUCAACCUCUUCGAGCCGUUGAGACUGGUCGUCUUGAGUGAGGGAGAGGAAUGCGGAAUGCGGGGUGUAGCGGUGAAAUGCAUAGAUAUCACGCAGAACUCCGAUUGCGAAGGCAGCAUACCGGCGCUCAACUGACGCUCAUGCACGAAAGUGUGGGUAUCGAACAGGAUUAGAUACCCGUGUAGUC